ensembl:lncRNA
AUUAACGCGUUGAUGUAAAUGAGUUUAUUGGGGGACCAGCCCCAGAUGGGGUAGAUAAAAAAUGUAGUCAGCUUAGAGAGGAGGGGGGAGCCAUAGAGUGGGAGGAAGUGGCCCCGAAGGAAGGGAGAGUCCCGCCUUUCAGUAACCUUGGUAGAUAAGGCUAGUCUAAAUCCACGGCUCUGCUUGGACAGGAUUUAGACUCCAGCAUUGAUUGCUGAAAUAUUUCAUUGGGCUUUUGAGUUUGGACAGACCUUAGAGGCGACAGACUUCUCUGGGAGUGUAGCUAUUACAGCUGUUAUCAUCUCCCUGUUACGGAUGAGCAAGCAGCCUCCAAGAGCUGGAGUGGUUCGACCUUCAGUGCCUUCUUGCCUCCACCCCAGGCCAGCAUGGCAUCCACAGCCCCAGCAGCUUCUCAAACCAGAGGAUGCAGUUGCUAGUGAAAACAAAGAAGAUGGCAAGCCCCUGAGGUGUUCUAGAAAAUGGAUGUAUGCUGUGAGACCUGUUUCUGAGGAUACCUUGUGGAUUCUGAACAAUGAAAGGAUCUGCUCAGAUGCCCUGAUUUCCACCCACACCAGCUCUGACUCUGCUGGAGAUGUUCUUUCUCCCUCUGAUUCCAGGUGCUGCCGCAUCCACUUUCUGCCCCAUCUGUCAGCUUUGCCCCAACCCUGAGCACAAAGGCAUGGAGCAUGAAGCCCAUCUCCCCUUCACUGGGCAGUAUUCUCUUUGGUAUGAAGAUCAGCCCAUUGGAUGUCCCGGCCUCCUUUUAAUACAUAACUCUGCUCACCCUUUCUGGCAAUGAUUAUUUUGUUUGUUUUUAAUUCCAUGCUAUCCUGCUGCCUGAGGGGUUCCCCCCUUUCUCCAUCUUUGCCAUUGUGCUUCUUGCCUCAUUAACCUGUAGAGUUUCAUAGCUGAGGUCCCCCUCCCAAAUUCAGCUGGUCAUUGGGUCUCCAGAGUACGGCUGGCUUCGUUCUCCCUCAAAGUUGCAGAGGCUACCCUGAGGGGCUGGGGUUCUAGUAGGGCCUCUCCAGAGCCCCUAGCUGGCCUUCUUGCUAUUCAAUCAAGCAAUAGAAUUCUCAGCUGCCAGUCUCAGGCCCUUGCACACAAUCUCCCUGAGGAGAGAGGGUUCCCACUUACAACCCAAUGUGCAGAGAAUACCUAUAGCCAGGGAGGGAGUCCUUGGCUCUCCCCACCAAGUCGGCUUCUGGCUGUGUCAACAGUGUCUGAGGGUAUGGUGUCACCCCUAAAGGAUGGUUUCUCCUUCAUUUUCCUUCAGAGGUUCCUGAUGGGGAUGCAGCUGUGCUAAUGGGCACCUGGUUUAACUCCUCAGUCCUGAUUUAGCUCUGACCCCUGGUAGAGGCAUUCCUGCACUCUCAUUUCCCAGAACCUACUGGGGCUGCCAAGUAGCACAAUGGAUAGAGCACCAGACCUGGAGUCAAGAGGGCCUCUGUUCAAAUCUGGCCUCAGACACUUCCUAGCUCUGUGGCUCUCGCAAGCCAGCUAACCCCCUUUGCCUAGCCCUGGCCCUUCGGUUUUAGUUAUUGCUAGGACAGAAAGUACUCAUCUUAUAGACAAGGAAACUCAGAGAGGAUAAGUGACUUCUCCAAGCUAGAAAGUUCUAGACUCCAAGUCCAGCACUCAAGCUCCUGUAUUACCCUGGUGCUCAAGUAGACUCACCAGAGCUCAGGAGAGAACCAGCACAAAAGCAAGAGGCAUCAUAAGCUCAGGGACAGAUCACAACUUCCUUUCCUGCCCUAUCCACCCACAACUCCCAUCAGCCCUCCUCACCUGAAGGGCCACAGAAAGGCAAGAACCUAAGGGAUCACCUACGAGAACCUUCUGUACGUGUUCCAGUUCAGUCUUGGCCUCUUGAGUCUCCAUUAGUACUUCAUGGAAGAUCCCUACAGAAGAGUCAUAGAGUCUGGAUCACCAAGACCACAGAUCACUGGCUGUGUGACUUUGGGCAAACCUUUUCUGCUCUCCACAUCCCAGUUUCUUUCUCUGCAAAAUGAAGCACAAGAAUAAAAAAGGAAGCAAAGGAAGCA